CAGCGCUGACACGACUCUGCGGUUUGCCCUUGCUGAGAACGUAGGAGGAGAGGUCAGUCUUGGAGGUAGAGGGGAUUUCCUGGGAAGUUCUGCAGAGUCCUGGCAAUCUGUGUCCAUCAUUGUCUCCAUCUCUCAGCCACUCUCCUGACUGAUGCUUGUCCUUCAAGAGCGGGGGAUCUCCCCUCAGAACGCCAAAGGAAUUAAUCUGCCUUUCCAUUCAAUCAACUGAGAUUUUUCACGUGUUUUCAGUGAUGCUGAGAGGUGACAACAAUCACUGUAAAAAACGCAGGCUGACAGUAUCUUCCAUUCUCCAAUUCUCAGCUGAGUACUUGACACUUUCACUUUCAU